GAAGAGUUUGAUCAUGGCUCAGAUUGAACGCUGGCGGCAGGCCUAACACAUGCAAGUCGAACGGUAACAGGAAGCAGCUUGCUGCUUUGCUGACGAGUGGCGGACGGGUGAGUAAUGUCUGGGAAACUGCCUGAUGGAGGGGGAUAACUACUGGAAACGGUGGCUAAUACCGCAUAACGUCGCAAGACCAAAGAGGGGGACCUUCGGGCCUCUUGCCAUCAGAUGUGCCCAGAUGGGAUUAGCUUGUUGGUGAGGUAACGGCUCACCAAGGCGACGAUCCCUAGCUGGUCUGAGAGGAUGACCAGCCACACUGGAACUGAGACACGGUCCAGACUCCUACGGGAGGCAGCAGUGGGGAAUAUUGCACAAUGGGCGCAAGCCUGAUGCAGCCAUGCCGCGUGUAUGAAGAAGGCCUUCGGGUUGUAAAGUACUUUCAGCGGGGAGGAAGGUGUUGUGGUUAAUAACCGCAGCAAUUGACGUUACCCGCAGAAGAAGCACCGGCUAACUCCGUGCCAGCAGCCGCGGUAAUACGGAGGGUGCAAGCGUUAAUCGGAAUUACUGGGCGUAAAGCGCACGCAGGCGGUCUGUCAAGUCGGAUGUGAAAUCCCCGGGCUCAACCUGGGAACUGCAUUCGAAACUGGCAGGCUUGAGUCUUGUAGAGGGGGGUAGAAUUCCAGGUGUAGCGGUGAAAUGCGUAGAGAUCUGGAGGAAUACCGGUGGCGAAGGCGGCCCCCUGGACAAAGACUGACGCUCAGGUGCGAAAGCGUGGGGAGCAAACAGGAUUAGAUACCCUGGUAGUCCACGCCGUAAACGAUGUCUACUUGGAGGUUGUGCCCUUGAGGCGUGGCUUCCGGAGCUAACGCGUUAAGUAGACCGCCUGGGGAGUACGGCCGCAAGGUUAAAACUCAAAUGAAUUGACGGGGGCCCGCACAAGCGGUGGAGCAUGUGGUUUAAUUCGAUGCAACGCGAAGAACCUUACCUGGUCUUGACAUCCACAGAACUUUCCAGAGAUGGAUUGGUGCCUUCGGGAACUGUGAGACAGGUGCUGCAUGGCUGUCGUCAGCUCGUGUUGUGAAAUGUUGGGUUAAGUCCCGCAACGAGCGCAACCCUUAUCCUUUGUUGCCAGCGAUU
rnacentral:rRNA from 1 species